rnacentral:lncRNA from 1 species
GGAAAGAUAAAAACGAAAAAAUACUCCCCUUGCUUGAUAUUCUUUUCUUUUUCUUCUUCCUGCUGAAUUUUUUCAAAAAAGUUGAGAACACCAAGCACCUAUUUCCAUGUCUCAAUCAUAGGAACUUUAAUCUCCAAUUUCUUAAAGAUUUCAAUAAAGCACUUAAACUUCUUUUCUUUCCUAUGAUAUUUCUUUUGAUAAGGAAGAGGUUUUGCAUAUGAUCUUUUCUUCUUUCCUUUCUUCCUUUUUUUUCUUAAUAUCCUCCCUCAACUUUAUCUUUUUCUCUUUUCUUCUUUUCUUCUUUAUUUCCGCAUAUUUUUUCUUUUUUUCUUUUUCCUCAACCACUGCUUUUUCUCCCUCCUCAUCUUUCUCUUCCUCACUCAACAUUCUGUUUCUUCUUCCUCUAUCUUUUCCUCCUCUAUCUUCUUUUCCUGAAUCUUCUCCUCCUUUUUCUCCAUUUUUUUCUCCUCAACAACCUUUUUUGUUUCUAUCUCUUCUAUCUUUUUCACCUCUCUUUCUAUCUUCUCCUUAUAGACAACCUCAUCAAUUUGUGUCUCCAAAUUCCUGAAGGUAACUUCAUAGCUCUUGGAAUCUUACUUCUCCAAGAAUUUGUCGAAUUUUUAAUUAAGGCUUUUGACUUGUUACGUCACAUCAACUAUCUGAUGAUAUAGUUGUUGAUCAUCCUCCCACGUUUUUGUUGAUAAAGAAAGUUAUUGCUGCCAUAAACGUUGUUCAGCUUCC